rnacentral:rRNA from 1 species
UACGUAGGGGGCAAGCGUUAUCCGGAAUUACUGGGUGUAAAGGGAGCGUAGACGGUGAAGUAAGUCUGGAGUGAAAGCCCGGGGCCCAACCCCGGGACUGCUUUGGAAACUGUGAAGCUGGAGUGCGGGAGGGGCAGGCGGAAUUCCUGGUGUAGCGGUGAAAUGCGUAAAUAUCAGGAGGAACACCGGCGGCGAAGGCGGCCUGCUGGACCGUAACUGACGUUGAGGCUCGAAAGCGUGGGGAGCAAACAGG